rnacentral:piRNA from 4 species
GCCUUUUACUAAAGAUUUCCGUGG